CCUGCAGACGGGGCAUGCGCCAUACGGGGAUACGUCAGAGGGUCGGUACGACUCUAUCCAGGCUGGUGUCUGAGAUCCUGUGUCCUGGGCUCUGCCCCUCUCUCAGAGCUCAGCCUCCUUCCAGCUUGCUUUUGCUCCCGUCAGUGUUUCUCAAAAUGCGUUCCUCAAAUCCGACGCUACAUGAUUCCCAGGGAAUGGGUCCCGUUUCUAAGCCAGUUAGGGAAAUACUGCGCCACCCAGCUAUUCUCCUUGCUGCCAGCUUUACAGUUUAUUCGGAUGAGUCCCACAAGAGAAACUGCACUUUCCUGGGUCCUCAAAGCUUCAGGUCAGAUAACAUCUUCUUUCUCCUCUUUUAUUUCCUAUGUAGCCAUGGAUGGCCCGGAACUCACUCUGUAGGCCAGACUAGCCUCAAACUUACAGAGAUCUGUCUGCCUAUGUGUCUGAGGGCUGGUGUUAAAGAACAGGGUGAGAUUGACUUCGGUGCUGGGAGGGUAGUUCUCCAGCUGGAUCAGGAUUGUGAACAGUUGGGGACCCAGGAAGUUGACCAGGGCGAUGACUCCAGGAGGCAGUGGGAGCACUCUCCUCCUCCCACGGUCCACACCAGAAAAAGCAAACAGUAAAGAAAGGAAUUUAACUGUCCAGUACCUCCUUGUUGUCCUGUGAGUACUUGGUGGCCCAGAAGAUGGCGCUGAUGGCUCCGACCACUAGGAGUACAAUGAGGACGUUGGUACGCAGCUGCUGUCGCGCCACCUGCCUCGGGCGAUGCCACCGCUGCCAGCAGGAGUUCUUCACGCCCUCGGGCUCCCGCAGUUUCCUGCAGGACCAUGGUGAUGGGGCGCCCUUGAGUCAUCCAUC